rnacentral:rRNA from 1 species
UUCGGGGGCAAAGUGACAGGUGGUGCAUGGUUGUCGUCAGCUCGUGUCGUGAGAUGUUGGGUUAAGUCCCGCAACGAGCGCAACCCUUAUUGUUAGUUGCCAUCAUUUAGUUGGGCACUCUAGCGAGACUGCCGGUGACAAACCGGAGGAAGGUGGGGAUGACGUCAAAUCAUCAUGCCCCUUAUGACCUGGGCUACACACGUGCUACAAUGGGAAGUACAACGAGUUGCGAAGUCGCGAGGCUAAGCUAAUCUCUUAAAGCUUCUCUCAGUUCGGAUUGUAGGCUGCAACUCGCCUACAUGAAGCCGGAAUCGCUAGUAAUCGCGGAUCAGCACGCCGCGGUGAAUACGUUCCCGGGCCUUGUACACACCGCCCGUCACACCACGAGAGUUUGUAACACCCGAAGUCGGUGAGGUAACCUUUUUGGAGCCAGCCGCCUAAGGUGGGAUAGAUGAUUGGGGUGAAGUCGUAACAAGGUAGCCGUAUCGGAAGGUGCGGCUGGAUCACCUC